UACGUAGGGAGCAAGCGUUGUCCGGAAUCAUUGGGCGUAAAGCGCGCGUAGGCGGCCCCGUAAGUCCGCUGUGAAAGUCAAAGGCUCAACCUUUGAAAGCCGGUGGAUACUGUGGGGCUAGAGUCCGGAAGAGGCGAGUGGAAUUCCUGGUGUAGCGGUGGAAAUGCGCAGAUAUCAGGAGGAACACCAGUAGCGAAGGCGGCU
rnacentral:rRNA from 1 species